rnacentral:rRNA from 1 species
AUUGAACGCUGGCGGCAUGCUUUACACAUGCAAGUCGAACGGUAACAGGCCGCAAGGUGCUGACGAGUGGCGAACGGGUGAGUAAUGCAUCGGAACGUGCCCAGUCGUGGGGGAUAACGCAGCGAAAGCUGCGCUAAUACCGCAUACGAUCUAUGGAUGAAAGCGGGGGACCGUAAGGCCUCGCGCGAUUGGAGCGGCCGAUGUCAGAUUAGGUAGUUGGUGGGGUAAAGGCUCACCAAGCCGACGAUCUGUAGCUGGUCUGAGAGGACGACCAGCCACACUGGGACUGAGACACGGCCCAGACUCCGACGGGAGGCAGCAGUGGGGAAUUUUGGACAAUGGGCGCAAGCCUGAUCCAGCAAUGCCGCGUGCAGGAAGAAGGCCUUCGGGUUGUAAACUGCUUUUGUACGGAACGAAAAGGUCUGGGUUAAUACCCUGGGCACAUGACGGUACCGUAAGAAUAAGCACCGGCUAACUACGUGCCAGCCGCCGCGGUAA